GAACUCUGGCGUGCUUAAUCGUUCAGUGAUUCAUAGUGAAUAGCUUGUAUCACAGUUCGAUUUGGCCCGCUAGUGUCACUG
rnacentral:pre_miRNA from 1 species